CGUUAUAUGGGGACUACACCAGAACGUGGACCGAUAUAUCUCAUUUUCAAUACCAACCAUCCUAGACAAAAUGCAAAUACCUCUGCUAAAUUUUGGCGCUCUACGUCUACGGAAUUCACUUAAAUCUUAAAGCUAGUGUUCGCAAAUUAUCGAUGGUUUCAGACUUUUUUCUUUCAUAAAUACUUUUUUGUGAUAUGAACAUACUUCGCAAAAAUUAAAUUUGACAAAAAAAUUUAAGUACAUAAAAUUUCAAAUCGUGCUAAAUGGAAUAAAAUCGUAUUUUAUCGGCAAAUGUCUGAUUUGUGUUUGUCUUUCUAUAAGCACAUAUAAGCACAUAAAACGCGAAAUAAAUAUCCAAUUCCAUUCCUUUGUACAUCUUAAUAUUUCUAUCAGCAGAAGAGUUGUUAUAAAGAUGGAAGAGAUCGGAACAUUCCUUCUGGUAACUCCCCAAACAUAAGGAUCAAGAUUUUAAAAAAUAAAACGCUAAAAGAAAUCGAAAUAAGCAUCCAGCUCUCUUUAAAUUUUACACAUGCGAACAUUUUUGCUAAAUUUUACGCAUACGAACAUUUGUCUUUCUAUUAAUUUCUUGGCAAGUCUCUCUUCUGCGAUUUUUACUAUUAAAAAGUACUGGAACAAGGCUUGUGUUGGUGAAACAUGGGACUCUCAUUCUCUAACGAAUGACGUAAGCAAUAUUUAAGGUAUCCUUCAGUUGAAUUGAAAAAUGCCCUUUUCGAUCAACGCAAUCAUUUCUUGAGUUCAUGGGAGGGAUUAUGACAACAUGUGUAUCCUCUAUACAUCCUAUUAAAAAUUAAAAAGGCUAACAAGGUUGAAAAAUGUAUUGAUAAAUUUCAAUGUUCGCGCGGGACAACAAAUAUAAAGAAAAAACAAAAAGAUAAAAUAUGGAGCAAUGAUGACAUUUUUGGAUGAUUUCAGUAGUGAAGAGGACUGGCUGAAUGAAGAAGAAAACGUAUUGGAAAACAGUGCAAAAUUAGUGAAAGGUUGGCUGUCUUCCCAACUUGUGGCAUUAAGUCUUCUAGCAGACUUGACAUUAAUUUAACCGGCGCCUCCAACCAUGUCAGCUUCUCCGGGGUUGGGAUUUGAGAAAACUCCACCUCUAAAUACUCUUCAACGCAUUC